UAUAGCAAGAAAUCAAGUGCAGAUCUCUUUGAGGUAUUUUUAGGAAAUGGGAAUAAAAUUUAGUUUUACAGUAAGGCAAUGCAAGACAUCUAAGCAAACAGAAAACAAAGCUAAAACACCAAGAUAAAUUCAAUUUGUUGACAAUGACAUGGGUAUCUUUUGAUGUUAGCACAAUUGGGGGCGAAAGGGGCAAUUUGUUUUUCUUUCCAAGAAAUGAAAUUAUUCCAUGCCAAAAUAUUGACUUUCAAAUGUUCUAAAACGAACGAUUUAUUUAUUGAGCAUUGCAGUCUUUCAUAUUCCGACAAUGAAAAUGGAGACUGAAUUAAGGUUUCGGAAAUGUGCUCCAUGUUUCAAGUCAACACACAGCUUAGCAACCAGAGAAGGGGGGGUCCAUGACAUGUUUCCAUCUCAGCUAGACCCCCCCCCCCAUACUUGACACUGUCUGUGACCAACAUCAUUGAUUAUUUGUAAGGAACUCAUUUAACAGACCUUCAUGUCAAUACAGUUGACUGUUAUGACAAUAAGCUCAGUGAUGUGUUCAAGUCCUAGCACAGGUUUGAAAGAGAACAUUUGAAGCUUAAUAUAUAUAAUCCUCUCAAUUUUGACAAGAUCACCAGGAGUUCAAUCUCCAGGCAAUGCCUUUAGCAAAAUACAAUAAAACAGUUGAGAAGAAUGAAGAUUUGAGAUGA